CACGUAGGGCGCAAGCGUUGUCCGGAAUUAUUGGGCGUAAAGAGCUCGUAGGCGGUCUGUUACGUCUGCUGUGAAAAUCCAGGGCUUAACCCUGGGCUUGCAGUGGAUACGGGCAGACUAGAGGCAGGUAGGGGAGAAUGGAAUUCCCGGUGUAGCGGUGAAAUGCGCAGAUAUCGGGAGGAACACCGGUGGCGAAGGCGGUUCUCUGGGCCUGACCUGACGCUGAGGAGCGAAAGCGUGGGGAGCGAACAGG
rnacentral:rRNA from 1 species